AUAAGCUUAGCAAGGGCAAAUGGUGGAUGCCUUGGGUAGUAGAGGCGAUGAAGGACGUACUAGACUGCGAUAAGCUAGGGGGAGCUGUCAAGAAGCUUUGAUCCCUAGAUUUCCGAAUGGGGCAACCCAAUGUGUCGUGAGGCACAUUACCUUUAAUGGAGCGAACCUAGCGAAGUGAAACAUCUCAGUAGCUAGAGGAAAAGAAAUCAAACGAGAUUCUCCUAGUAGCGGCGAGCGAAAGGGGAAUAGGGCAAACCGAAUGCUUGCAUUCGGGGUUGAGGACUGCAAUAUCCACUGCAAUACUUUAAUAGAAUAUUCUGGAAAGGAUAGCCACAGAGGGUGAUAGCCCCGUAUAUGAAAAGGUAUUGCUAGGUAGCAGGAUCCAGAGUAGGUCAGGACACGUGGAAUCCGGACUGAAGCUGGGGGGACCACCCUCCAACCCUAAAUACUACUACUACACCGAUAGCGAACAAGUACCGUGAGGGAAAGGUGAAAAGAACCGCAGUGAGCGGAGUGAAAUAGAACCUGAAACCAUUUGCCUACAAUCAUUCAGAGCCCUAUGAUUUAUCAGGGUGAUGGACUGCCUUUUGCAUAAUGAUCCUGCGAGUUGUGGUAUCUGGCAAGGUUAAGCAAACGCGAAGCCGUAGCGAAAGCGAGUCUGAAAGGGCGUUUAGUCAGAUGCUGCAGACCCGAAGCCAAGUGAUCUAUCCAUGGCCAAGUUGAAGCGAGUGUAAUAGCUCGUGGAGGACUGAACUCGUACCCAUUGAAACGGGUUGGGAUGAGCUGUGGAUAGGGGUGAAAGGCCAAACAAACUUGGUGAUAGCUGGUUCUCUUCGAAAUAUAUUUAGGUAUAGCCUCAAGUAAUAGUAAUAGGGGGUAGAGCACUGAUUGGGCUAGGGCUGCUCACCGCGGUACCAACCCCUGUCAAACUUCGAAUACCUAUUACCGUAUCUUGGGAGUCAGGCGGUGGGUGAUAAAAUCAAUCGUCAAAAGGGGAACAACCCAGACUACCAACUAAGGUCCCAAAGUUCUAUUCUAAGUGGAAAAUGAUGUGAAGUUACUUUGACAACCAGGAGGUUGGCUUAGAAGCAGCCAUCCUUUAAAGAAAGCGUAACAGCUCACUGGUCUAGUGAUUUUGCGCAGAAAAUAUAACGGGGCUAAGAUAGACACCGAAGUUGUAGAUUAUGCUGAUGCAUAGUGGUAGAAGAGCGUUCGUAUUGCGUUGAAGGUAUACCGGUAAGGAGUGCUGGAGCGAUGCGAAGUGAGCAUGCAGGAAUGAGUAGCGAUAAAAGUGGUGAGAAUCCACUUCGCCGAAAGUCUAAGGUUUCCUACGCGAUGCUCGUCAUCGUAGGGUUAGUCGGGUCCUAAGCCGAGUCCGAAAGGGGUAGGCGAUGGCAAAUAGGUUAAUAUUCCUAUACCAAUAGAAGUGUGCGAUGGAAGGACGCAUAGGGUUAGGUGAGCCAACUGAUGGAAGUGUUGGUCUAAGGGCGUAGAUUGGGGAAUAGGCAAAUCCGUCCCUGUAUUCGAAACCUGAAAGGCUCUUUGAAGUCUUCGGAUGGAAGAGAGAAUCAUUGAUACCGUCGUGCCAAGAAAAGUUUCUAAGUUUAGCUUCUAUUGCCCGUACCGCAAACCGACACAGGUAGAUGAGAUGAGUAUUCUAAGGCGCGUGAAAGAACUCUGGUUAAGGAACUCUGCAAACUAGCACCGUAAGUUCGCGAUAAGGUGUGCCACAGCAAUGUGGUCUCAGCAAAGAGUCCCUCCCGACUGUUUACCAAAAACACAGCACUUUGCCAACUCGUAAGAGGAAGUAUAAGGUGUGACGCCUGCCCGGUGCUCGAAGGUUAAGAGGAUUAGUCAGCAGCAAUGCGAAGCUUUGAAUUGAAGCCCGAGUAAACGGCGGCCGUAACUAUAACGGUCCUAAGGUAGCGAAAUUCCUUGUCGGUUAAGUUCCGACCUGCAUGAAUGGCGUAACGAGAUGGGAGCUGUCUCAACCAGGGAUUCAGUGAAAUUGUAGUGGAGGUGAAAAUUCCUCCUACCCGCGGCAAGACGGAGAGACCCCGUGGACCUUUACUACAGCUUGACACUGCCGAUGGGAGCAUUAUGCGCAGGAUAGGUGGGAGGCUUUGAAAUCUUCACUCUGGUGGAGAUGGAGCCACCGUUGAGAUACCACCCUUAAUGUUUCUGU
rnacentral:rRNA from 1 species